UACGUAGGGGGCAAGCGUUGUCCGGAUUUAUUGGGCGUAAAGAGCGUGUAGGCGGCCUGACAGGUCUGCUGUGAAAACUCGAGGCUCAACCUCGAGAUGUCGGCGGAAACCGUCUGGCUAGAGUCCGGAAGAGGAGAGUGGAAUUCCUGGUGUAGCGGUGAAAUGCGCAGAUAUUAGGAAGAACACCUAUGGCGAAGGCAGCUCUCUGGGACGGUACUGACGCUGAGACGCGAAAGCGUGGGUAGCAAACAGG
rnacentral:rRNA from 1 species